AAGUAAUCAAUCAGGAGCUGUUUGAGUCUUUUCACUGCGGUUCUCCAUUUCCUUAAUCACUCCUGUUGUUCAUACAAUUGCCCUUGGACAGUACUUUACCUAUCAGGUUCAAUAACUGCUCAGUACAUGACUUUUCUCCCUCCCUCUUUUGCCUUGCUCUAGUUGAUCUGUUUUAAUACCCAUGGAAAAAAAAAAAAAUCAUAUCAAUGUAAACUUAUUAUUCAAAGAGAUUUUAUGUUCAUGCAUAUACAGAUAGUUUUCAUAGCUUGAACUAAGCAAAUGCUGAAUUUAAUUUUCUGUUUAGAGUUGCCACUAUGGGGUGUUAAAUUGUUGCUGCUAUAAUGAAACUGCACCAAAUGUAGUAAUGAAUUUAACAGCUGUAUAUGCACCACAGUAGAGCAUAACAAGUCAAUUUAGGGUUUGAUCUGAGGAAAUACUGAAUUUUUUUUUAAAGCAUUCACAAUUCACAGCUGCAAACUAUCCUGUCUUCACAUACGACUCCAGGAAUUAGCUAAAUGUUUAUGCAUGAGUUUAAGGAUUUAUUAUCAACUGCAAGAACUCUUAUUUCUAAGCUAAAACUUCAGAGAAAGGUAGUAUAAUUUGAGUAAGCUGUUUUGUUCUGAAAUAUUUCCAGCCUGUGCAAGCAGCAUGAUUUAAAAAUUUCAUUUCCUUAGGUGAUAAUCUCAGGUGAUGUAUACUGGAAUGCUCACAUGGACCUUUCUUGUAUUCCAUUUUUAAUUUUAUUUAGUCCUCUCCAGGCUUUGGAGAAAAGUUAAAAUAACCAAACACUUGAUUCAGUUGUCCGUGACUUCUCUGAAAAUGGCUGACUAAAUACUAAAGUGAGAAGGGAAGUAAACACACAUUGAAAUCAUGAGAGCUUUUCUAUGAUGCUGAAGAGAGAAGUCCUUCAGAAGCUGAAAGCAGAGGGGAAGCCCUGGUUGUUAUCUGUGGAAUCAGCUCUGUAUUUCAAGGUCUCUGGGAUAGAUUCCUGUAAGAUGACAGUCAUCAGGAGGAACUGGGAAUUGUCAUUCCCUCUUUGUCAUUGUCAUAUGAAUGGAGAGAGAUGAAACUCCUUCC
rnacentral:lncRNA from 1 species